rfam:Jatropha curcas cultivar GZQX0401 scaffold246_40, whole genome shotgun sequence.
AAGCUAUGAUAUGGGCACUUCCUUAAUAGGUCCUUAAAUCUCUCCAAAGCUUCAUACAAACUCUCUUGAUCUUAGUGGGCGAAAAUCAUUAUCUCAUUGCAAAGCUU